rnacentral:rRNA from 1 species
CGUAGUUGAAUUUCUGGUCUCGGACAUCGGUCUGCCUCGAACGAGGUACGUACCAGUUGUCUGAAUCCAUCCUCGGGGAAAACGUAUCUGUCAUUCAGUUGAUGGGUACGGGAUCCUCGUCAUUUACUGUGAGCAAAAUAGAGUGUUCAAAGCAGGCUUAUGCCGUUGAAUACAUUAGCAUGGAAUAAUAAGAUAAGACCUUGGUCUAUUUUGUUGGUUUGUACUCCAAGGUAAUGA